CAUCCCAGCCGGGCACUGGGAGCCAGCUCCGCUCCCUGCCUGGCACUAUCAGUGGUUUCAGGGCUCCCUCUCCUGGCUCUUCCACUCAUCGCCGUCCAAGGUUCCGACUUUGCUGCUCUGCAGCUUUUUUGCUUGGUUGUUUUUUUCCUCAAUGCACCCCUGUCCCGCAGCUCAUCCUGCUCCCAUCUCUCCCGGUGACUGUUGCAGACGUCCCAUGAUGCUCAAUAGAUACCCCCCUGCCGGUGGGGACCGGGGCCGUGGUGCCCUGGGGAGGGGGAACGUCGUGGAGCACAGCCUGAGCAAGAGCCGUGGCACCAUCCUCUGCAGCCUGCGGGGCAGGGGCUGGGGGUGCUGCCCCCUCGUCUCUGUCUAGCAGAGCCCCCCCUCUUUUCUUAGGGGUGCCUGUCCCUGUGUAAAUGACAAUUAUUAAAGUGAUGAACUGCUCCUUGGGACAGUUUUUCUCA